UCGAGUACAUUAUCGGCAAGUCACCAAACAUUCAGACCUUCUUGCCACACAUGAUUCAGUGGUAACAUUGUUUGGUAGGUGUAUGGUGGCAAAGAUGAUGAUCGAUUUGCUUCUUCUCAUACACUGCCGACAAAUCGUAAAAGGGGAAGUUGAGGUUUCCUUUUUCUAACAUCGUCCCAUAGCCUUUUGUUGGCGAUUCAUAGACUGACAUACUUCCAUGAUUCCAUCGGCUUUGAGGGAAGCGACCAUAGCUUGUGUACCUUCCAUGCCGUGUGAAGUAGGGUUUAGACCCCAGGCAACCCACCUCGACUGAUCACUAGCCACGGUUUGCCUGAAAGUCAACUUUCUUGCUCUGCUAGGGAUUCUUUGCCCUAGCCGUCAAAAUUGAUCGAGUCUGCAAGAUGAUGACAGAGGAGACGAUGGCUCCUCCUAUACUUUCUGAGGAGGUUGUUGUGAGCCUUGUUGGAGGAGAGGAUGCGAUCCACGACUUGUUUUUCUAUUUAUGUGGCCGGCUCUUAUCCAAAAGACGGUGGUGAUCCCGUCGUUUUCGGCGACGAUCUCCAACGUUUGGGGAUUAAGAGAGAGAAUUCUGAUUCGACAGGAGGAGGAGGACAUCUUUGUCUUCCAAUUCAAGGAUAGGGAGGUGAAGAAUCGGGUUCUUUCAAGAGCUCCAUGGUUCUACAACAACUCUGUGUUGCUGCUGGCAGAUUAUGAUGGUGUUUCGGCUCUCGAUGCGGCACCGCUGCACUUUCUUGAGGUUUAGGUGGCGGUGAGGGGUUUGCACAUAGCUAUGCACAACGAGAAGGCGUUGACGCUGAUUGGCCGUGCUCUGGGGACUGUCGUUCUGGUUGACCAAGGGGGUGUGCAGAGGAAAGACACGGUUUAGAGGAUUCGUGUGAUCCAGGACGUUCGCCGGCGGAUAUGGGCGCAGCGGAAAUUUGAGUUUUCGUCGGCGGUUUCGGUAUGGGUGGAGCUCAAUUACGAGAAGUGUCAUGGGCUUUGCAUGGCAUGUGGAUUCUUCGAGCAUGGAGAUGGGAUCUGUGAUCAAAGAUUUGAGGGGGAGGCGUGGCCGCUGGUGGUGUCGGGCCGAGACGAGGUGGACCGUGGGUUUGAUUCGAUGCGUAACUCGCCAGCUUCUGUGGCAAUAGUCGGUGGGCCGGGAUUGACUCGUACGGCGUCGGCGAGGCUGUCGAUGUUGGAAGGACGAAAGGCGCCUGUGGAGACGGUAGCAGGAUCAAAGGCUAUGGCUGCUUGUGGAGCGGCGGUCUUUCCAUAAAAACUGGUGAGAAGCCCUAAUUUUGAAUUAGGGUUGACCGCUGGGUUGACUGGGCUAGGGCUGCCGGGUUUUGGGCCGGAUACUGAUGGGUCUACUAUUGGGUCAGAGAGGCAGGUAUUAGGGUUGGGCCUCAAUGCUAAUGGGGCAUAUAUGGAGGAUUCUGUUGGGCUUUUUUCUAGUGACAAACACUCAAGGGCUUUGGGUGUGAGAAAGAGGCAAUUCAAACCUAGUUUGGCAAUUAUUCUGUGGGAGUUUCAGCUGGGUGAGUUGGUGGAGGUUUCGGUUUCUAUGGGGCCAGCCCCGAAGAAAAAGGGCAGUCCACGCAAACGCAUUCAGGCAAAAGCUACAGGUGGAACCAAAGAGAAGGAAGGGGAUGUCAACAAACACAUCACACACAAGAAGAAGAAGAAGAAUGAAAUUACAAUGAUCAAAGGAGAGAAAGCUGAGCAGGAAAUAUUGCUGCACAGGGUAGAUAGUGCUGCUAGUCACAUUUGAACAAGUUCAAGUGCAGCCAAGGUUAAUAGAACAGACUGAAGCAAGCAUGCUCCUUGUGCUAAGUGCCAAGACAAAAGUCUUGUCUGCCACACACAUUGUAUUUGGCAUCUCCACAAAUCUUGUCUGCCAUGCUUUUGGCUUCUCUAUGCUUGUACUCUAGUUUAAAUAUCUGUUCACUCUUGUAAUCAAAACCAACAAUUAAUUCAAGCAAAUCUCAUUUCUCUUCAAAGGAAUGAAGGAUUCUCUCAAGAAGAUUAAUUAAGAAGGAAUAAAGGAUUCUAUCAAUUCGAAUAUGAGAGGGAAAACUUAAUUGUCAUUAUCUUCAUCGAAGGAACUGGAGUCCUCAUCUUCAUCAGCUGAUAUUGGCUCGUCAUCAUCUUCCACAAAGGAACCUGACUCCUUGUCCCCAGAUUUGUCAAAAAGAGAACUACAUGAAAAUAACAACAAUUAACUACAAAACUAUAUAUAUAAAAAAAGAAAUGAUACAAGGAAUAAACAAAGUAUUUCACAACAUUACCUAUCUUUAGCCGUACUAAGUGCCGGGCAAUUUCGUUUAUCAUGUAAUUGGCCAUACAAACCACAUCCAUGACAUUUCCUUGUACUACUUCUCUUUCUCUUUGUGUUCUCCUUUGUUUUCUUAAGCCUUUUUCCAGAACCCUUCGCUUUGAUUUCAUUUGGCUCAUUAUACCUAUGUUGAACAUCACUUGGCAGCUUCUUACCAAUACUCACACUUUCACUACUAUUGACUUGCAUUUGUUUGAGCUUAUCAAGCACAUUGUCAAGUGCCUCGAGAAACAUGGUCUGAGCUUCAUCAGGACUUGUAAGGACUUUGUCAAUAACAAGUGAAGCAUGAUGAAAUAAUUUACUACGCUUCACCACCAAUGCAUUUGUAUCUGUUAUCACCAACCCAUCUAGGUCCUUAACUACAGCAGCAUUUGCAACUUUAGUCCAUCUCUUCAAAAUGUAUUGGUCAGGCAAGUAAUCUACUUCCUGAAC